rnacentral:rRNA from 1 species
AAAGUUUUAUAGAGGUAGAGCUACUGAUUGGAUGCGGGGGCUUCACCGCCUACCAAUUCCUGACAAACUCCGAAUGCUAUAAAAUGUUACUCAGCAGUGAGGGCAUGGGUGCUAAGGUCCAUGUCCGAGAGGGAAAGAACCCAGACCAUCAGCUAAGGUCCCCAAAUAUAUGUUAAGUUGAACUAACGAGGUGAAACUGCUUAGACAGCUAGGAUGUUGGCUUGGAAGCAGCCAUUCAUUUAAAGAGUGCGUAACAGCUCACUAGUCGAGCGGUUUUGCAUGGAUAAUAAUCGGGCAUAAACAUAUUACCGAAGCUAUGGAUUUACGUUGAAAGACACGUAAGUGGUAGGGGAGCAUUCUAUUUGCGCCGAAGGUGUCCUGUAAGGAAUGCUGGAGCGGAUAGAAAAGAAAAUGUAGGCAUAAGUAACGAUAAAGGGGGCGAGAAACCCCCUCACCGAAAGACUAAGGUUUCCUCAGCGAUGCUAAUCAGCUGAGGGUUAGUCGGGUCCUAAGGCGAAUCCGAAGGGAGUAGUCGAUGGAUAACAGGUUAAUAUUCCUGUACUUCUUAUAAUUGCGAUGGGGUGACGGAGUAAUGAAAGCACCGCGAACUGACGGAAUAGUUCGUUGAAACAUGUAGCUAUUAGAACUGUAGGCAAAUCCGCAGAUCUAGGUGAAAUGUGAUAGUACAACAAAUCUUCGGAUGCGUUGAUAGUGUGCCUAAAGGCUUCCAAGAAAAACCUCUAAGCUUCAGAUUAUAAGAACCCGUACCGUAAACCGACACAGGUAGUUGGGAUGAGAAUUCUAAGGUGCUCGAGUGAUUCAUGGCUAAGGAACUAGGCAAAAUAGACCCGUAACUUCGGGAGAAGGGUCGCCCAUCUUCGGAUGGGCCGCAGUGAAAAGGUCCAGGCGACUGUUUAUCAAAAACACAGGGCUUUGCUAAAUUGAAAGAUGAUGUAUAAGGCCUGACACCUGCCCGGUGCUGGAAGGUUAAGUGGAGUUGUUAGCCUUCGGCGAAGCAAUGAAAUGAAGCCCCAGUAAACGGCGGCCGUAACUAUAACGGUCCUAAGGUAGCGAAAUUCCUUGUCGGGUAAGUUCCGACCUGCACGAAUGGUGCAACGAUCUGGACACUGUCUCAGC